GGCCAUACUGACAGAGUGCCACAGUGAUGUCGUCAUAAUACCCAUAAAACCUAGCGGUCAAACACUGAAAUGGUUCCAAUAGUUUUUUCACCAUAGUUUUUUUCCCGUAGGGGAUUUUUCAAAUACUUCAAAGAAGGUCUGUGUUUCGUGUUGUCUUACGUUUUGAUAACCAUGUAAAUCUCUCUCGGACAAGGUGACUUACAGGCUUUGAUUUUGGUUUCGAGAUUGGUUCUGUUUAUGUGUUGAUGUACACUGAUUGGAAUCAUCCUCGUUGGGCAGGAUGUGUUGCACUGGUCGCCUCGUUAGUCAGUUGUUAGUUUAUAUUUAAAGUGCAACUGCCCCUAAAAAAAACAAAUCCCUUUGAAAACGGCCUAUGUGGCAUCGAUAUGAGUCAAACAUUUAUUGUAAUGUCAAAAUUGACUACAAAGUGUAAAUAGGAUCAUUUAUCAUAACGUCAGUUUCGUCUAAAACAGAGUUUGAAACCCGAGUGCGUCACAACGAGUAAAUGAAGGUUGGGUUUGGAAUACAAUUGUCAACAAUUCAUGCCCCUUUUUGUCAAGCUCCACGUACAAAUCGCUCCUCCGCCCACUUCGCUUCCCUUCAUUGAAUGGGGCUCCGUUGUUUCAUCACCCCCAACGCGUUCAAAGGAUCACGGCUGUUUUGAGACUCAAAGCCCUAUACGGAUUGACCAUGGCUCCGGUUCGACAAUGCAUGCUUCCAGCAGGAUGCACAGCCAACUACGGUUUGCAUGCUCUGCCAAAGUACCCUACCAUGCGGAAUAGGUGGUUGGAUUUCAUUGGUCCCCAAUGAUGGUGAGUAUACCGGUAGCUAGACCAUAGACUGCUGGUUUUGUAUCUGGUUAUGUAUAUUUUGAUAUUCAUUAUCAUCGCUAGCAUAGCUGACAUUGGCUGGCUAGCUAGCUAGCUACCUACCUAGUGUUAGCGUUUCAAUACAACUCGGAUUUGGCUUGGAAACACGAUAACAUUUUCAAAAGAAGGCAAAUAAUUAGUAGGAAAACCAUUUGUCAUGAUUGUGAUGUUGCCAGAUUUGACUUUAGAUGCAGUAUAACUUUAGCCAGCUGAGAUUGAGCGGACCGCUGUAUUUUAGCUAGCUAACAUUAGCAUUGCUAGCUAUUUUGACAAACUUUGCUAGUAACAGUAAUGGUAACAUUUCCAUCUCUCUAAAGUAAUUUUGAUGACAUAAUAUGGCAGAGUUGUUUCCUACUAAUUAUUUGCCUACUUUAGCAAUGUCAUCAUAUUUCCAUUCCACUAGAAGUUAGUGUAAUUUAGACUAAACGGUCACAUUAGCCUCUGAGGUGCAACCCAUGUCAAGGGCACAAAUACAUUUUUGAUGCAGCUGUGGUGGUACUAGCUAACUCAUGUCUGACUACAACAGUGUACUAACUAGUAGCAACAAACCCAAACCAACCCAGGGCCAUAGCAAAACAUGUCAGUUGUUUCCAUAGUGUAACUGCGUCACUGGCCUGAAUCUAUUCCAAUCUGGAGCCAGCCAGUCAGUCUACAUCUGUAAAGCAUAGAAUUAGCUAGUGACCCGAGUUACUGCCCUAUUGACACAGCCUGCUUCAUCAACAACGAUGGGUUGUGUGUGUUAUGUGAAAAGUUGUAUUCAAAAAUAUCCGUCUUGAUAAACUAUUAGGCUAAUUCCCCAGCCAAGCAGAUACAACUAGUAUCUAGUAUUUUGGUUGUGAAGUGCAUUAGCAAAAAGCUUUGUCCUUUCUUUAGAACAAAAUGCAAUUGACCACUUGGCUAAUAUAUCACCCUGUCACCACCACCUCAUAAGAUUGUCUGCUGCAGUUGUUCGAGAGAUGUCCAGUUUGCAGCCGAACAUGCGGCAUAGAGAAUACCAGCAAGGGGCCCUCAUCAGCAUCAUCAAAAUCAAAUGUUAUUUGUCACAUGCGCCGAAAUACAAUAGGUGUAGACCUUACCGUGAAAUGCUUACUUACAAGCCCUCGCUGUGCGCAUUCCUAUGAAUGGAACAGUCAUCGACAUGUUGGCAAGUAUCCGGCCAGCACCCUUCACCUGUCAGCGGCAACAGCUUUCACAGGCUCAUCAUUUGUACAAAUAGAGAAGGUAACCCACUUCAUUACUUUGAUAACCCAAUUGUGAAACAUAAUUUAUGUAAACUGACAUUUGUUGCUUAUUUUCUACUUCUUAGAUGCAUAUAAUGUGCAGGGCAUAACCUAGCCUGGUGGAACCAGCCUGAUCGCUGUGUUCAUCAUUCUAUUUCACUUCACAUUUUAUGAAAUCUGAAGGGAAAUAGAAAGGUGAACGCAGCGUUCAGGUUGGUUCCACCAGGCUUAUCAUAAUCACCAUUGAUAAUGUGAUCAGUGCUCUGUGUAUUAAUAUGUGUGUGACUGACCAGUAUCUUUGAAGGGCCAGGAGCUGAUCUAUGCUGCAAUGGGGCUCUGGCAAAGACCUCAUCACUUGCCUGCUCACCAACGGUUGUCGAUGGGGAGAACAGAGUUUGAUACCUGUAUGGAGCCAGCACUUGAGAGACUUUCAAGAUGAUGUGAUGGAGUCCAGACGGGCUUGAUGCUGAUGUCUGAAAUGGAGAGACCUUGCACUCAGCAAUAAAAUUAUACAAGACUCAUUGA